rnacentral:rRNA from 1 species
AGUGGGGAAUAUUGCACAAUGGGCGCAAGCCUGAUGCAGCGACGCCGCGUGGGGGAUGACGGCCUUCGGGUUGUAAACCUCUUUCAGCUCUGACGAAGCGCAAGUGACGGUAGGAGCAGAAGAAGGACCGGCCAACUACGUGCCAGCAGCCGCGGUAAUACGUAGGGUCCGAGCGUUGUCCGGAAUUACUGGGCGUAAAGAGCUCGUAGGUGGUUUGUCGCGUUGUUCGUGAAAUCUCACAACUCAAUUGUGAGCGUGCGGGCGAUACGGGCAGACUGGAGUACUGCAGGGGAGACUGGAAUUCCUGGUGUAGCGGUGGAAUGCGCAGAUAUCAGGAGGAACACCGGUGGCGAAGGCGGGUCUCUGGGCAGUAACUGACGCUGAGGAGCGAAAGCGUGGGGAGCAAACAGGAUUAGAUACCCG